GUUGAACGCUGGCGGCGUGCCUAAUACAUGCAAGUCGAGCGAACGGACGAGAAGCUUGCUUCUCUGAUGUUAGCGGCGGACGGGUGAGUAACACGUGGAUAACCUACCGAUAAGACUGGGAUAAGGUCGGGAAACCGGAUCUAAUACCGGAUAAUAUUUUGAACCGCAUGGUUCAAAAGUGAAAGACGGUCUUGCUGUCACUUAUAGAUGGAUCCGCGCUGCAUUAGCUAGUUGGUAAGGUAACGGCUUACCAAGGCAACGAUGCAUAGCCGACCUGAGAGGGUGAUCGGCCACACUGGAACUGAGACACGGUCCAGACUCCUACGGGAGGCAGCAGUAGGGAAUCUUCCGCAAUGGGCGAAAGCCUGACGGAGCAACGCCGCGUGAGUGAUGAAGGUCUUCGGAUCGUAAAACUCUGUUAUUAGGGAAGAACAUAUGUGUAAGUAACUGUGCCCAUCUUGACGGUACCUACUCAGAAAGCCCCGGCUAACUACGUG
rnacentral:rRNA from 1 species